GAUGAACGCUGGCGGCGUGCCUAAUACAUGCAAGUCGAGCGAACGGACGAGAAGCUUGCUUCUCUGAUGUUAGCGGCGGACGGGUGAGUAACACGUGGAUAACCUACCUAUAAGACUGGGAUAACUUCGGGAAACCGGAGCUAAUACCGGAUGAUAUUUUGAACCGCAUGGUUCAAAAGUGAAAGACGGUCUUGCUGUCACUUAUAGAUGGAUCCGCGCUGCAUUAGCUAGUUGGUAAGGUAACGGCUUACCAAGGCAACGAUGCAUAGCCGACCUGAGAGGGUGAUCGGCCGCACUGGAACUGGGACACGGUCCAGACUCCUACGGGAGGCAGCAGUAGGGAAUCUUCCGCAAUGGGCGAAAGCCUGACGGAGCAACGCCGCGUGAGUGAUGAAGGUCUUCGGAUCGUAAAACUCUGUUAUUAGGGAAGAACAUAUGUGUAAGUAACUGUGCACAUCUUGACGGUACCUAAUCAGAAAGCCACGGCUAACUACGUG
rnacentral:rRNA from 1 species